GAUGAACGCUGGCGGCGUGCCUAAUACAUGCAAGUCGAGCGAACAGAUAAUGAGCUUGCUCCUUUGACGUUAGCGGCGGACGGGUGAGUAACACGUGGAUAACCUACCUAUAAGACUGGGAUAACUUCGGGAAACCGGAGCUAAUACCGGAUAACAUAUUGAACCGCAUGGUUCAAUAGUGAAAGGCGGCUUUGCUGUCACUUAUAGAUGGAUCCGCGCCGGAUUAGCUAGUUGGUAAGGUAACGGCUUACCAAGGCAACGAUACGUAGCCGACCUGAGAGGGUGAUCGGCCACACUGGAACUGAGAACAGGUCCAGACUCCUAAGGGAGGCAGCAGUAGGGAAUCUUCCGCAAUGGGCGAAAGCCUGACGGAGCAACGACGCGUGAGUGAUGAAGGUCUUCGGAUCGUAAAACUCUGUUAUCAGGGAAGAACAAAUGUGUAAGUAACUGUGCACAUCUUGACGGUACCUGAUCAGAAAGCCACGGCUAACUACGUG
rnacentral:rRNA from 1 species